UGGGGAAUUUUGGACAAUGGGCGCAAGCCUGAUCCAGCCAUGCCGCGUGCGGGAAGAAGGCCUUCGGGUUGUAAACCGCUUUUGUCAGGGAAGAAAUCUUCUGAGUUAAUACCUCAGGAGGAUGACGUACCUGAAGAAUAAGCACCGGCUAACUACGUGCCGGCAGCCGCGGUAAUACGUAGGGUGCAAGCGUUAAUCGGAAUUACUGGGCGUAAAGCGUGCGCAGGCGGUUUUGUAAGACAGAGGUGAAAUCCCCGGGCUCAACCUGGGAACUGCCUUUGUGACUGCAAGGCUUGAGUGCGGCAGAGGGGGAUGGAAUUCCGCGUGUAGCAGUGAAAUGCGUAGAUAUGCGGAGGAACACCGAUGGCGAAGGCAAUCCCCUGGGCCUGCACUGACGCUCAUGCACGAAAGCGUGGGGAGCAAACAGGAUUAGAUACCCUGGUAGUCCACGCCCUAAACGAUGUCAACUGGUUGUUGGGAAGGUUCCUUCUCAGUAACGUAGCUAACGCGUGAAGUUGACCGCCUGGGGAGUACGGCCGCAAGGUUGAAACUCAAAUGAAUUGACGGGGUCAUAGCUGUUUCCUG
rnacentral:rRNA from 1 species